rnacentral:precursor_RNA from 12 species
CCAUUUUCUUGUUAUUUUCUCCACUUGCCCCCUUUGUACUAGAUACUUUGUUGUGUAAAUAUUAAAUAGAGCAUCUGGUACAAAGGAGGUAGUUGGGGCACAGCACUUCUUGAAGCAC